rnacentral:rRNA from 2 species
UUAAGCGACUAAGCGUACACGGUGGAUGCCCUGGCAGUCAGAGGCGAUGAAGGACGUGCUAAUCUGCGAAAAGCGUCGGUAAGGUGAUAUGAACCGUUAUAGCCGGCGAUGUCCGAAUGGGGAAACCCAGUGCAAUUCGUUGCACUAUCGUUUGAUGAAUACAUAGUCAAACGAGGCGAACCGGGGGAACUGAAACAUCUAAGUACCCCGAGGAAAAGAAAUCAACCGAGAUUCCCCCAGUAGCGGCGAGCGAACGGGGAGCAGCCCGGAGUCUGAAUCAGCUUGUGUGUUAGUGGAAGCGUCUGGAAAGUCGCAGGGUACAGGGUGAUACUCCCGUACACUAAAACACACAGGCUGUGAACUCGAAGAGUAGGGCGGGACACGUGGUAUCCUGUCUGAAUAUGGGGGGACCAUCCUCCAAGGCUAAAUACUCCUGACUGACCGAUAGUGAACCAGUACCGUGAGGGAAAGGCGAAAAGAACCCCGGCGAGGGGAGUGAAAAGAACCUGAAACCGUGUACGUACAAGCAGUAGGAGCCUCUUUAUGGGGUGACUGCGUACCUUUUGUAUAAUGGGUCAGCGACUUAUAUUCUGUAGCAAGGUUAACCGUAUAGGGGAGCCGCAGGGAAACCGAGUCUUAACUGGGCGUUAAGUUGCAGGGUAUAGACCCGAAACCCGGUGAUCUAGCCAUGGGCAGGUUGAAGGUUGGGUAACACUAACUGGAGGACCGAACCGACUAAUGUUGAAAAAUUAGCGGAUGACUUGUGGCUGGGGGUGAAAGGCCAAUCAAACCGGGAGAUAGCUGGUUCUCCCCGAAAGCUAUUUAGGUAGCGCCUCGUGAACUCAUCUUCGGGGGUAGAGCACUGUUUCGGCUAGGGGGUCAUCCCGACUUACCAACCCGAUGCAAACUACGAAUACCGAAGAAUGUUAUCACGGGAGACACACGGCGGGUGCUAACGUCCGUCGUGAAGAGGGAAACAACCCAGACCGCCAGCUAAGGUCCCAAAGUCAUGGUUAAGUGGGAAACGAUGUGGGAAGGCCCAGACAGCCAGGAUGUUGGCUUAGAAGCAGCCAUCAUUUAAAGAAAGCGUAAUAGCUCACUGGUCGAGUCGGCCUGCGCGGAAGAUGUAACGGGGCUAAACCAUGCACCGAAGCUGCGGCAGCGACACUAUGUGUUGUUGGGUAGGGGAGCGUUCUGUAAGCCGUUGAAGGUGGCCUGUGAGGGUUGCUGGAGGUAUCAGAAGUGCGAAUGCUGACAUAAGUAACGAUAAUGCGGGUGAAAAACCCGCACGCCGGAAGACCAAGGGUUCCUGUCCAACGUUAAUCGGGGCAGGGUGAGUCGACCCCUAAGGCGAGGCCGAAAGGCGUAGUCGAUGGGAAACAGGUUAAUAUUCCUGUACUCGGUGUUACUGCGAAGGGGGGACGGAGAAGGCUAUGUUGGCCGGGCGACGGUUGUCCCGGUUUAAGCAUGUAGGCGGAUGUUCCAGGUAAAUCCGGAACGUUACUAACGCUGAGGUGUGAUGACGAGGCACUACGGUGCUGAAGUGACAAAUGCCCUGCUUCCAGGAAAAGCCUCUAAGCAUCAGGUAACAUCAAAUCGUACCCCAAACCGACACAGGUGGUCAGGUAGAGAAUACCAAGGCGCUUGAGAGAACUCGGGUGAAGGAACUAGGCAAAAUGGUGCCGUAACUUCGGGAGAAGGCACGCUGAUAUGUAGGUGAAGUGGUUUACCCAUGGAGCUGAAAUCAGUCGAAGAUACCAGCUGGCUGCAACUGUUUAUUAAAAACACAGCACUGUGCAAACACGAAAGUGGACGUAUACGGUGUGACGCCUGCCCGGUGCCGGAAGGUUAAUUGAUGGGGUUAUCCGUAAGGAGAAGCUCUUGAUCGAAGCCCCGGUAAACGGCGGCCGUAACUAUAACGGUCCUAAGGUAGCGAAAUUCCUUGUCGGGUAAGUUCCGACCUGCACGAAUGGCGUAAUGAUGGCCAGGCUGUCUCCACCCGAGACUCAGUGAAAUUGAACUCGCUGUGAAGAUGCAGUGUACCCGCGGCAAGACGGAAAGACCCCGUGAACCUUUACUAUAGCUUGACACUGAACACUGGUCCUUGAUGUGUAGGAUAGGUGGGAGGCUUUGAAGUGUGGACGCCAGUCUGCAUGGAGCCAUCCUUGAAAUACCACCCUUUAAUGGCUGGUGUUCUAACGUGGGCCCGUUAUCCGGGUUGCGGACAGUGUCUGGUGGGUAGUUUGACUGGGGCGGUCUCCUCCUAAAGAGUAACGGAGGAGCACGAAGGUCAGCUAAUCCUGGUCGGACAUCAGGAGGUUAGUGCAAUGGCAUAAGCUGGCUUGACUGCGAGCGUGACGGCGCGAGCAGGUGCGAAAGCAGGUCAUAGUGAUCCGGUGGUUCUGAAUGGAAGGGCCAUCGCUCAACGGAUAAAAGGUACUCCGGGGAUAACAGGCUGAUACCGCCCAAGAGUUCAUAUCGACGGCGGUGUUUGGCACCUCGAUGUCGGCUCAUCACAUCCUGGGGCUGAAGUAGGUCCCAAGGGUAUGGCUGUUCGCCAUUUAAAGUGGUACGCGAGCUGGGUUUAGAACGUCGUGAGACAGUUCGGUCCCUAUCUGCCGUGGGCGCUGGAGAAUUGAGGGGGGCUGCUCCUAGUACGAGAGGACCGGAGUGGACGCAUCACUGGUGUUCGGGUUGUCAUGCCAAUGGCAUUGCCCGGUAGCUAAAUGCGGAAGAGAUAAGUGCUGAAAGCAUCUAAGCACGAAACUUGCCCCGAGAUGAGUUCUCCCUGACUCCUUGAGAGUCCUGAAGGAACGUUGAAGACGACGACGUUGAUAGGCCGGGUGUGUAAGCGCAGCGAUGCGUUGAGCUAACCGGUACUAAUGAACCGUGAGGCUUAACCUU